UACAGAGGUCUCAAGCGUUGUUCGGAUUCAUUGGGCGUAAAGGGUGCGUAGGCGGCGCGGUAAGUCGGGUGUGAAAUCUCGGAGCUUAACUUCGAAACUGCAUUCGAUACUGCCGUGCUUGAGGACUGGAGAGGAGACUGGAAUUGCAGGUGUAGCGGUGAAAUGCGUAGAUAUCGUAAGGAAGACCAGUGGCGAAGGCGGGUCUCUGGACAGUUCCUGACGCUGAGGCACGAAGGUCAGGGGAGCAAACAGG
rnacentral:rRNA from 1 species